rnacentral:lncRNA from 1 species
CUUCUCCCUGGCUGGAUGAUCUGUCUCGGCGAGGGAGGAGGAUGUCCCGUCCAGAAGCCGCUGAGCGGCCGGUCUCAGGAGCCGCACUCCUCGCAGUGACAGGAGAGGAUGUACCGGUAGGUGGCUGUGAGCCUCAUGCCCCCGGAGCAGCGCAGCCGCAGUGCUUUUAGCUUGGAGGUCUGGGGCCGGCAGCAGUGACAGGAGGAGCGGAAGGGCUGCUUGAGGACAGUGCUGAAGGACACCAGGGGCUCCGAGCGUGACGCCUGGCUGCAGUGCCCCUCGCACCUGGCCAGAAGCACCAUCUGGGGAGAGAAGGGAAACGGUUACCCUGUGGGGGGUGCCAAAACCUCAGCCGGGUCCCGCAGCAUCCUAACACCCUUGGCCAAUUCCCGCUGGAUGACACCAGCGGCUCCCAGCCCCGCUUGCACAUUAGAAUCACCGGGCGAGGGGCGCCUGGGUGGCUCAGUCGGUUGAGCGUCCGACUCCGGCUCGGGUCAUGAUCUCACGGUUCGUGAGUUCGAGCCCCGCGUCGGGCUCUGUGCCGACAGCUCAGAGCCUGGAGCCUGUUUCAGAUUCAGAUUCUGUGUCUCCCUCUCUCUCUCUGUUCCUCCCCCACUCGCACUCUGUCUCUCUCUCUCUCUCUCAAAAAUAAGUAAACAUUUAAAAAAUAUGUUUUGAAACAAGAGAAUGAAACAGAAACAGCGUACGUUUGGGGCCCCGGAAUCACACUUCUGGGCUCAUAUACGCCGAAAGAGCCUGAGAGUUGCACAACCCAAUCUCAGAGUCAUUUGUGGCAAAUUACCAUUCUGACCAUCUCCAUUUCCAAAGGCAGGUUAGGGUGACAAUAAAGGUUGGGCUGAAGUAACAGAGGCUGUGUGUUCUCUCUAGUGGCUCUUCACCUGGCUUUAGUAAAGAGUCUCCUUUAAGAGUCCGAUGCAAACCACCAAGGUUAUGCUCCGAACGAUGGACACAAGCAUCCAGCUCACGGGGAUGGAGUGAGCUCAUUUAUGUCUCCCGUACAUAAAUCCCGGGAUCCUGGCAGUGGCAGACAUGGGUAGGGUAGGGUGGGGAGCUUGAUUCACUAAGAAUUAAAAAAGAAGGGGCACUGGGGGGGGGUGUCGGUCUGUUAAGCAUCUGACUCUUGAUCUUGGCCCAGGUCACGAUCUCAUGGUUUGUGAGUUUGAACCCCGCAUCGGGCUCUGAGCUGACAGUGGGGAACCUGCUUAGGAUUUUCUCUGUCCCUCUCUCUCUGCCCCUCCCCCACUCAUGCACAUUCGCUCUUUCUCUCUCAAAAAUAAAUAAGCAUCAAAGAGAAAAGAAUUAAAAGAAAGACAUGGCCUGCUCAUCUUUCUCAAAGGAAUCCAAGAUGACUUCUGGUAACUAUAGACGAUCAGCCCCAUUAUCGAAGAAGAUGCUCGGAUGAAUCCCGCAAGAGGAUACGAGUUGCUAGGAAGCGACCAGCUGGGCUUGGUGAAGUGGGGGGUAGGACCUAUUGAUUUAUUUUCUCUGAAAGAUCGCAGGGGCAGAGAGGAAAUGGCAGCUAUAAACCGUCUCGGUUUUAUGAAAGCGUUGGUGCCAUCCUGCCUGUCCAUUGGUAGGCAAAACAGACAGGAGCCGAAAUAGGUUUUGAGAGAUUAUGCCAUAAAUCAGCAGCACACGGGCCAGUCUCUGGUGCCCACCCCAUCCCCCUAAUGAGAGGGAUUCCAAGGUCUUCUAAAUGUGCUCAUCUCUAAUGCGGGUCAUCUCCUAGGCAGAUUAAGCAAUAUUCAGAGAUCACCUCCCCAGACGGAAGUCUUCAGAGGUCCAAUUUCAGUCCAGAUGAAUGUAGUGAAUCCGUGUCCACAGAUUUAAUUCAAAGGGGCACGGACAUGGCGGUGCAUCAUACCCGAAUGAUGCAAAUGCCGGUGAACUGAAUGUAGACCUUGGAUGACCAUGCAAUUAACACUGUCCAUAAAACGACCAAGUCAGCAACGUUGGGCCAUUGGUAGAAGCACUAACCUGACCGUGAUUGCACUAAACGUGUUCAAGGGUCUCAAGCUCCACCUUCGGCUCUUUCUGAAAUACAAGAACUCCAGCGCUGAAAAGACCCCGAGACCACCUCCAAUGGAUCCCCCUCUCUCCGCAGCUGGAUUUUUGCGCAAGGAGAACGCACAGACAUGUGCCAUAAACGCAUUCGGUGGCUGCCUCCAGCCUUCAGGAUAAAACCCCAGAUCCUGAAAGGGUAUUAAGAUCCUCCGUGACCCGGAUGUCACAUCUUUCCAGUCUUACUUAAAACUGUUCUCAUUAUGGGGCGCCUGGGUGGCGCAGUCGGUUAAGCGUCCGACUUCAGCCAGGUCACGAUCUCGCCGUCCGUGAGUUCGAGCCCCGCGUCGGGCUCUGGGCUGAUGGCUCAGAGCCUGGAGCCUGUUUCCGAUUCUGUGUCUCCCUCUCUCUCUGCCCCUCCCCCGUUCAUGCUCUGUCUCUCUCUGUCCCAAAAAUAAAUAAACGUUGGAAAAAAAUAAAUAAAUAAAUAAAUAAAUAAAAUAAAAAAAAAAACUGUUCUCAUUGUCAUCACCCACUCCCUGUUCUGAUCAAGCCUAAUCAGUUAGGAGUUCAGGGAACCGCCCUGAAUUUCCCUGCCUCUUGCCUUCGCUUGUGUCUUUCGUCUCUCAGGAAUGCCUUUUCCUCCUAGUUCUGCUUAAUGAAAUCCCGACUAUCCUCCAUUGCCACGUUCAGAUGCCCUCUCCUCGAAGAAGAAGACACUAUGAAAGAAUUAUCGGGGCCCUUGAUGGUCUCGACACACACGUGCAAAUCUCCCCUCUGGGAGAUUUCCAGUAUAUAGAUCCCAUCACAACGCUGGAAAUGCUAUAAAAGGCUAGCUUUGUUUUGUGAAUGUGCGUUGGAGGGGUACAGCCGGGAGCUUGGAAGGGAAGAUCGAGAAACGAGUAUCAUUACGGGAUGGAAGGGAUAAAUGUCUGCUUUUCCAGGCUCGCUCUCGGCUGUGCCUUGCCUGUUUUAUGGCUUUCACGAGGAUCUUCUCACCUCUUCCAGGCCAAAGCUUCUCAAACUAUAAUGGGCAUGUCAAUCAGCUGGGGAUCUUGCUAAAACGUAGAUUGUGGCUGAGUAGUUCCGGCCGAGGCCGGAGAGCCUGCGUUUCUCGCCGGAUUCUGGUUGAUGUCGGUACUGCUGAACGUCCACGCUUUGAGUAGCAAAGUGGGAGAGUCUGACAGGUUCCACACUAGAUGGGCCACUAGAUAGCAGUCAUUUAGCCAAUAAUAAUAAUGGCAGCUAACAUUUACUGAGUGCUUACAACACUUACAAUCUCAUUUACUCCUCAUAACAUUCCCCUGCUGGGGUACGAUUAUUAUCUGUAGUAUUAUUAUAGAUGAGGAAACCGAAGCUUUAGAGAGUUUAAGUAACUUGCCCAAACUCACAUAUCUGGUGAAAGGCAGAGCUGGAAUCAAACCCGGGUCUGUCCAAAACCAACCCCCCCUGGUCUAAAUCAUAGCAAAAUGUUUCCCUGAAGCAUAAGCCAGCUCCCACCCUUCUCUCAUCUACUUUGACCUGAUUCUGGGAGCCCUAACCCGAUCAAAAGCAUAGGAGUCUGCCCUUUUUCUUAUGAACUUCUUGGGAGAUAGCAUCACCAACUCCGAGCUUACGCAGAGCUGAAUGGUGAAAGUGCCCUCCUAAAUAAUAUCCCCUCCGCUACCGAGACCUUCCCCCGGUUCCAUCGUCCAGCGAUUGGGGGACUUCUGGGGACUCCCAGAAAUUCCUUGCAUGGUACCACACCACACAGUGUCUAACUCCUUAACCCACUCACCCUUCGGUUCAACAAACCUUCACCACCUUCAAACAUCAGUUCACCCGCCAAAAUCCAGUUUGCGGGUCAGACCCACCCCCCUCAUGCCUGGGGGACUUGGCCGUGUCUUACUAACACGGGAAGACUCUUCACUGUGCACUCAACUGCUCCUAACAAAGGGCAUCCACACGACUCCUUUGCGAAAUCAGGAAACGACCUCGUUUUGCCAGCGAGCCCGCACGGGGCUCCACCAUUAAAGGAGAAGCUUCAACAGUUGGUUGGUGCUCAUUGACCUUCUGUUGACGUCUCACAGCUCAGGAGGGUGACAGACACACAUUAUCUGCUUUGGGUCCAGUUUAAUGUUUGCUGUCUUAUGUUCCCCAGGCAAGUGGCCUGAUUCUGGGAAGCUAGGCGACUUCUCCAGCGGUCCCUUGGGAGCCCCCCAACCUUAGAGUCACUUGGCUCCCGCUGGACGUGGCCAGCUCCUUCUAAUACCAACAGAGCUGUGGGCUCCUUCCUGUUGUCAUCUGAUUUCCGUGGGCUGGGGCUAAGGGGAAUGCAAGGCCCUCGGGUAAUAAUAACAGAACAGUAAUGAUGACGAUAUAUAACACGUAUUGAACAUUUAGCAGGCUCCAGGCUCUGUGCCAAGCCCGUCAUGUGCAAUCUCAUUCUUAACAGCCAUCUCAAAAGCUAAGCCUUCCCCAUUUUACAAAUGAAGCACUGAAAAGGCAGAGGAUAAGUCACUGGCCUGAAAUCACAUAGCUGUAUAACGGAGGGUCAGAAUGCUGAACAGAGACAGCUUCAUUGCUGAGCCCUCCGUCCUAACCGUGACAGUCAGCCUGUCAACCCUCUGUCAACCUCAGCGAGUUGCUCCAGGUGGUCAUGGGCAAGUUCAGGCUACAUCGUGAGGAUUACAGCCUGCUGUGAUUCCUGGGUCGCGACCAAGGAUUGCACCCGGAGACUUGCCCGUACGUCUUGGGCAGUUGGGUCCUCUCCUGCUGUAUACACCUAUCUUCUGAGUGAGAGAAAACCCAACCACAGAUGGUUUUCAUCGCUCCUUGUUGAAAGAUUCUUACCGUUGCCAAAGCCACUUUCCUCGUCUGUCAUGUGGAACCCCUGUGAAUUCCUGGCUCAGGCCAUGACUGACGAGGUGUCUUCAUCGGUUUCAGAAUAAAGACGCAGAAUAAAUACUUUGCCCACAGAUGGGGCGCCUGGGUGGCUCAGUCGGUUAAGCGUCCGACUCUCGAUCUUGGCUCAGGUCCUGAUCAGGUCUCACAGUUCGUGAGUUCGAGCCCUGCAUCGGGUUUUGUACCGACAGUGCAGCUCCUGCUUGGGAUUCUCUCUCUCCUCUCUCUCUGCCCCUAUCCUGCCCUCUCUCUCUCUCAAUAACUAAAUAAACUUAAAAAAAAAAAAGACUUUGCACACAAAACAUCCUAUGCUAAAACCGGAUUUUGGCUAUUUUGCCUCAGUUAAGUGAGAAACUAUUUUUUUUCUUUUUCUUUUUUUGCCUUUUUUCUCAGCAGUGAACACGACAUACCCCUUAUCCCCUGGCACCUCAUGGAGACCCAUUUCUGCCCUCCCGGGCACCCUCAAUAAAUGACUAUUCAGCUCAUCUCCAGGCACCCAGGUCAACCCCCAAAGGGUCCGUGCCCGGCUGAGGGUGUCAGCAAAAUUGCAACCAGAGGAAUGAAGCACCAUGGGGAAUGAUGGGAUCUGGUCGCCUUCACUCUGGUCACAGCUGAAACAGUUGUGAAACCUUUGCACACAGAGCAUUGCCCUUCCCUCUAUACCCCAUUUACUUAAAAGCAUUACGACUGUAAAAAAUGCUGUCUUCUUUUUCCCCUGAUUUUUGUGCCUCCAGUACCGGCCACGGUGCCUGUACGUAGUGGGCAUUCAGGAUAAAAUCAUUCCUUAAAAAAAAAAAAAAAAAAAAAAAACCCCAAAACAAGUCCUGGGGCGUCUGGGUGGCUCAGUCGGUUAAGUGUCCGACUUCGGCUCAGGUCAUGAUCUCACGGUCUGUGAGUUCGAGCCCUGCGACGGGCUCUGUGCUGACAGCUCGGAGCCUGGAACUCGCUUCUGAUUCUGUGUCUCCCUCUCUCUCUGCCCCUCCCCCGCUCAUUCUCUCUCUCUCUCUCUCUCUCUCUCUCUCACACACACACACACACACAAAUAAUAAUAGACAUUAAAAAUACAAAAUAAGGGGGCGCCUGGGUGGCGCAGUCGGUUAAGCGUCCGACUUCAGCCAGGUCACGAUCUCGCGGUCCGGGAGUUCGAGCCCCGCGUCGGGCUCUGGGCUGAUGGCUCAGAGCCUGGAGCCUGUUUCCGAUUCUGUGUCUCCCUCUCUCUCUGCCCCUCCCCCGUUCAUGCUCUGUCUCUCUCUGUCCCCAAAAAAAUAAAUAAACGUUGAAAAAAAAUUUUUUUUAAAAAAUACAAAAUAAGAAAAAAAAAAGAAGUCCUAUCUCUNNNNNNNNNNNNNNNNNNNNNNNNNNNNNNNNNNNNNNNNNNNNNNNNNNNNNNNNNNNNNNNNNNNNNNNNNNNNNNNNNNNNNNNNNNNNNNNNNNNNNNNNNNNNNNNNNNNNNNNNNNNNNNNNNNNNNNNNNNNNNNNNNNNNNNNNNNNNNNNNNNNNNNNNNNNNNNNNNNNNNNNNNNNNNNNNNNNNNNNNNNNNNNNNNNNNNNNNNNNNNNNNNNNNNNNNNNNNNNNNNNNNNNNNNNNNNNNNNNNNNNNNNNNNNNNNNNNNNNNNNNNNNNNNNNNNNNNNNNNNNNNNNNNNNNNNNNNNNNNNNNNNNNNNNNNNNNNNNNNNNNNNNNNNNNNNNNNNNNNNNNNNNNNNNNNNNNNNNNNNNNNNNNNNNNNNNNNNNNNNNNNNNNCUGGGAAGGGAGGUCAGACAGCGGGAUCUGCCUCUCUUCUGCUUUUAUCCCCACUCUUAGCAGCCAGCGUGAUGGCUUACGCUUACGUUGCUUUUCGGCACGCUCUCCCCACCCCCGCCAGGUUUCCGUGCUAAACCAGAACCCCAAUGAGGUUCGUUUUCCUAAUCCUUUAAGGCUAUCCGAGAUCCCAACCGUUAUUGAGGUCUUAGUAGUGACUGAAAUAGAAAAGUGAGUCUGAACACCUGUCCGGUGCAUAACUUCAUCAUCAAGAUCAUAACAUCGUUUCUUAACGUCUAUGAUAUGCCCGACACCGUGCCGCGUGCUCGGCAAACAUCAUCACCCAUGCCCAUUCGUACCCCACCUUCAGAUAGGCGGCAUUGGCUCCAGUUUAUGUGGGAACAAGUCGAGGCACCCAAGAACUACUUCACUUCUCCCAAAGUCACCCAUUGGGCGCACUGUGGAUCUGGAAUAGGAAACCGGCUCCCUCUCACUUCAAAGUCUGAGACGCCUCAGCUCCCUUCAAGAUUCCACUAACCACUGACCUUCUGCCUGUUCGCUCUAGAGCCUUUACGCACUCAGAAUGUCAGGGAAGACUGUCAGUGAACCUGCCACUCCCAGGAAGGAUCCUUUGUACCCAGUCCUAGGAAGUGUCACCCCCAAAAGCUAGCAGGCACAUCUUAAUCUGUGGCCACACUGACCUCCCUGGUGGACCACGGUGGCCAGUCUUCUCUGCCGGACUCCAUCACGGCCCUUUCCUGAACUGCUAGGCGAUGGGCGCCAGGCCUCUGGAACUCAGGGCAAGGGGGAUCAGAUAGGCUCAUGGAAGACUCCCACUAUUCUUCCUAUUUUCUAGAAACAUUGCUGAGUAGAAAUCACUAUCUCCCGUGGAUCCGAAGCUGAGCCUGGACUUCGAAAUAGUGGCUUCUCCAGGGGCGCCUGGGUGGCUCAGUCGAUUAAGCAUCCGACUUCAGCUCAGGUCACGAUCUCGCGGUCCGUGAGUUCGAGCCCCGCGUCGGGCUCUGUGCUGACAGCUCGGAGCCUGGAGCCUGUUUCAGAUUCUGUGUCUCCCUCUCUCUCGGACCCUCCCCUGUUCAUGCUCUGUCUCUCUCUGUCUCAAAAAUAAAUAAGCGUUAAAAAAAAUUUUUUUUAAAAAGUGCCUUCUCCAUUCUACUUGCAAUUUUCCAACAUGAAGAUCCCAGUGGUCAAAAGAAAUGAUCUGAAACAGGCACUUUCACUCUUGGACUAAACGAGGAAUCUAUGCUGAAUACGUUUUUACACUUUUUAGUUUUUUUUUUAAUUUGAUUUUUGAGAGAAGGAGAGAGAGCAGGGGAGGGGCAGAGAGCAAGGGAGACACAGAAUCGGAAGCAGGCUCCAGGCUCCGAGCUGUCUGCACAGAGCCCGACACGGGGCUCAAACCCACAAACCGUGAGAUCAUGACCUGAGUCGAAGUCGGACGCGUAACCGACUGAGCCACCCAGGCGCCCCUGAGUACUUUUUUAGGGUUUCAGUUUUCCCUACCGGUAAAAUGGGAUCGGUAAUGCCUUCGAACAUGGGUUUGCUGGCAGUGAUUAGAUCAUAUAUUAUGAGAUGCUCUCCCUCCCCUAAGCCUGGCUCGCACUCUCCCGUUCACCUGUCUUCCCAAGGCCAGACAGUGGGAUAAGUGUAAGUCAGGAAGUAUUAACAAGCAACAGGCCAACGGUAGACAUGUGUCUAGUAAAUAACAGUCUUUGAACAGCAUGUGGAGGGAAGCUUUUCACAGAGAGGAAAGAUCUAGCCUGGUCUCCUCCACUGUAAAAACCCUUGGUGCCUGUUUUCUAGACACAGGCUAAAGGUUUUAUCCCGAGUCUGUCAAGACGAACAGUUUCGUUAACGAGACCCGUUAGAAAGAAGACCAGCCUGAGUCUGUGAGAGUCAAGAAUUAUAGAAUAUUUAAAAAUGAAAACCAAAAGAAUAAAAUAAAAUAAAAUAAAAUAAAAUAAAAUAAAAUAAAAAUGAAAACCAGUUUUUGUUCCUGGACACAUAGAGCAAAUCUAAUCCAGAAAAGGUCUGGGUGGUUCAGAUUCUGCCAGGCAUAUUUUAAGGCCGAGAAAGAAAGGUUUAUAAUUACGAGCACCAUUUACAUAAAAAUAUUGCUAUAUCUGACAUAGUUUGGGAUGUUUGGAAACAGAUUGUUCCCACAGAACUACAAACAUUUCUGCUACUAUCACAAGUUUGUACUAUUUAUCGUGGCAUUCUGGAAGAAACAGACGUGAACAAAGGUGGGCCAAAGUUUGUGUCUGGGAAUCGUGCUGCAGCACCGUGAGUGUGUGGGGCUCAAGUUCACGGCAUCUCUUCUUUCAAAUACUAGUGGAGGAGAAGCUAAUAAUUGCUGAGGCCCACAGUCUUUGAGCAAUCACAGUUGUAAAAACAUGUCCCGACUUUUUUCCCUCAAUUUGCUUUAGUUUUUUUUCCCCCCUAAGAAGGGAUUGCAAUCUUGCAAAAAUGUAAGUUUAUCUGUUUACUCCUUUUUUUUUUUUUAGUUCUAUAACUACAAAUGAGAGCCAGAAAGUUUUUAAGUGGAAAGGCUCUCUAUUUUUCCCACAGUCCUAGAUCUUAUUAAUAUAAUGGGUAAAAUGAUUUAACUCAAAUUCUGAUUCCCCCAAACUAAAACAAGCCAUUAUCAUCGAGGUGUAAUCAGAGAAGUGAUGGAAAUUUUAAAGGCAGACAGAAGUCAUAAUGUUCUUAAAUGGAGGGUAGGGACAUUAACUUAUAUGGUCUUAAUUCUCGUGGUUGAUAUUACCCAAACUUCUUAAUUAUACUGGUAAUUUAAAAAAUACUUGCCAUAUGAGAAUGCUUAAGCGGUUUUGGUCUCAGGACUGCAGUGAAAAUCUCUGAGGUUGGGCUAAAAGGAUUCCUAUUUACCAAAUGUGGGCACAUUUCAUUCAUGUGACUGGGGGCAGUGACGGUCGUGACAUUUUUCAGUCUGAGUCUGUUCUUCGCUACUAUGUGCCUCCCUUCUGGGUGGUCCAGGUGGCCGGCCACUGUCGGUGGCCUUUGAAGCAUGGUACUCCUUCUCACGCUUCGUCCCAACACUGAGACGUUACCCGCACAGGAUGCCUCCACAAAUGAGCAUACAACCUACUCCAGACAAGAAUGUUUGGAUAAUCCACGUAAGAGUGAUAAAUGAUCAAACUGCCACUUAUCUUUCGAGAUCAUCGUAACGUAAACGUGGCAGGUGGAGAAAGGUUUGGGCCACGAGGCCGGUGAGCAGCUGUGUCAUCAGGCAUGGCUUUGAAGAGUCCCCCUGAGAAGUACGAUUUGCUGCUCAACCACAUUUCUUGCCUCUGUUUCCUCUUUAUUGCCAGUGAAAGUAGAAGGAGUUUUGAUAACCUGUAGAUUCCACUUUUUUAAAGUUUAUUUAUUUUGAAAGAGAGAGAGAGAACAGGGGAGGGGCAGAAAGAGAGUGAGAGGGAGCAUCCCAAGCAGGCUCCGCGCUGUCAGCGCAGAGCCCGAUGCGGGAUCGAACCCACGAACCGUGAGAACAUGACCUGAGCCGAGAUCAAGAGUCAGAUGCUUAACCGACUGAGCCACCCAGGCGCCUCUACUCUACUUUUCUUUGUCGAUAAAGAACAUUACUGCUCGUGAAUUUCACAGCCAGGGACGAAACACACCUCUCUCCCCCGUGCUUAGCAACAAUUUCCUUGGGAGAACCUUCCGGCCUUUCCUAUGGACUUUGAGCAGCCUGAAAGGAGAGAAGCUGCCUGGGUGUGCACAUGGUCAAUUAGGCGGCUUUACUGACAAAGGUCCAAAGCAUGCUGGGAAACCCGAAAAGCAGGAAAAGCACGAUUCUCCCGCAAGCCCCGUGGGCCAGCCAUCUAGCUCAGGUUUGGACUACGAUCAUGGUUCUGCAGCCCCUGACAAAGGAAUACGGCUCCUCUCCCGACUCUGGGAAGUCGCACCACCUUCACCGAGCCCUUCGUCUUACCUUUGAGCUACACUUGUACAACGGGUGACUGAUAGAAUCAACAUAGUGGUGCCUCAUGCAGCGCAGAGGGUCCGAGUCGAUCAUGAACGAGCUGUCCGUUUUGCUGUCUGUAUCUCCCAUCAGCGCCAGCAGGGAGAGCAUAGAAAAAGAUGCAGCGAGUGCAUGAUUUCUCAUUGUUGUAAGGAAAACUUCUCAGAAGGAACAGCAGAGGGAGGCAGAGGACUAAAGAUUGGCAAUGCCUUCGCCCCCUAGGAUCCAGUUCCUUCCCAGCAAAGGGCACGAUCUGGCCGGAGCUUUCUGGUUGUCAUUGUCCUUUGUGUGUCGGAGUCGGGUCUCACUCUUUCCACUUGCGAUCCACCCUCACGGUAUCUGCCGCACAGCUGGAAUGAAAACAGAAAUGGUUUUCCCCGGAAACAUUUACCCAGAAAAACGAAUGGAGCCCAGGAGGUAUUGAGUAGAAUUUUUCCAUGUCGUUUUGAGGAAAGAGUAUCGGUUUCCAGAGUGCCAUUAGCACGGGCUGUCCUUCAUCCUACCAGCUCCCGCCCCAUAGCUUGUGCUACGUAUUUAUAGCCAUUGGGAGGUGGACGCAAUGGUUUCAGGAAAGCACAUGUUGAUUUCAGUUGCCGGAGCCCCACGUUUCUAGGAGCAAGGAUAGUUUGAACUCACGGUCAAGAUGAAACAUGUGGUUCUGGCCCCAGCGUAACUGAAUACGGGUGGUCCCAUCCCCAUCCCUGGCUGGUGGGGGCGGGAGGGUCUAUCCAGCUUCUCAGUGAGCUCUGGUGGCCACGUCAAGCGCACAGGACUAGAAAGGAGGCAGGCCAGCCCGAAUGAACACAGGCCGCGUCCCAGGGGAAAGCAGCUCAGUUUUCAUUUCCUAGUCCACCCACCUAGUUUUCCCCUUCUGUGCUCUGGGCCCAUCCUGUUUUCGUUUGAAGCCCCGUGCCACCCAGCAUCAAUGACAAAGUGCAUCUGAAAUACACAUUAUGCGCGCCGGCCCCCAGUGUGGUUAAAGCGACACUCGCGUUAUUUGCCAAAGAGUCACACGUUUCCGCAGAGCCUCUGUAGCCUGAGCACCUGGUAUAAUGUGACAAAGUAAGUGGUCGUCAGAGCAAACGCUUACCAUUACGAUGGGAUCAGGGUAUACCAGUUGUCCUGGAAUUUGCUUUGUGCUUUUUUUUUUUAAUAUAUAUAUUUCUUUAAGGUUUAUUUAUUAUUGAGAAACAGAGAGAGACAGAGCACGAGCAGGGGAGGGGCAGAGAGAGAGGGAGACACAGAAUGUGAAGCAGGCUCCGGGCUCCGAGCUGUCAGCACAGAGUCUGACGCGGGGCUCGAGCUCACAAACCGCGAGAUCAUGACCUGAGCCCGAGCCGGAGGCUUAACCGACUGAGCCACCCAGGCGCCCCAAAAUCUGCUUUGUUCUUUUAACUAUGUACUUCUUGGGCAAGGGACUGAGGUCCUGAGAUCUCCUCAUUUCACCUCACUAGCCCCCCUCCACAUGGCCAACAUGGGUGCUUUUUAUCCCACCAGAUGACAGAGCAUCAAAAAUAUUUGCAAACUUUUAGGAAAACUAGGGGGACCUGUCGUUACAUCCCAAACAAAAGGAACAUGAUAAUAAAAGCUUCAGACAAACUUUCAAAAGGUAUUUCAGAUAAGAGUUUGAUUAUUUUGUUCAUGGUACAACAUUUUUUUUAACUUCCUACUUAUGGCCAGUCCAAAUAAACAGGGCAAAGUAAUGAUAAGAUCCAGAUAAGAAGUUCAAGUCCCCGUAAGUCAAUUCGUUUUGCUCCAAUAGAAUGGCCCCAGACCCACUUAGCUUCAGUUAGCUCUCUUGUGAGUGGGGGGGCGGGGGAUCCCAGGCUGAAAAGUGUAUGUGACACAGGGCCGUUUCAGAGAACGGCAUCCCUGGUGAUGGCAUAAUCUCAUCGCAAGUGUUUCUGGGAAAUCCUAUAAAUGGCAGGACGGGCAGGGACCAGUAAUGAGGAGACCCACCUGAGCUGGAGCACUGCCAUCGAUUAGCUGGGAGACCUUGCACAGGGCUUUUCAACUGGUCUGGCCUCAGUUUCCCCAUCUGUAGGGUAGGAGAGUUGGAAAAGAUGGCGCCUACAGUCCCCUCUUGUUCUAAAACGGCCCCGCCUGAUACGCACAGAUUCAGUCACCACCGUCUCCAAAUGUAGAAGACAGUCCUAAAGGUAAGACCAUAUCUUCACACAACUUUGCAUCACUUUCUUUUAUGAGCUUGCUAAUGGCAACAUCUCAUGAAAACUGGUCAACCUGGGGCGCCUGGGUGGCUCAGUCGGUUAAGCGUCCCACUCUUGGUUUUGGCUCAGGUCAUGAUCUGGCGGUUUCGUGAGUUCAAGCCCUGCGCUGGCAGCACAGAGCUUCCUUGGGAUUCUCUGUCUUCCUCUCUCUCUGCCCCUCCCCACUAGCGCUGUCCCUGCCUCUCUCAAAAUAAAUAAAUAAGCUUUAAAAAAUUUAUUUUUAUUUAUUUAUUUAUUUUAAAAAAAUGUUUUAAUGUUUAUUUAUUUUUGAGAGACAGAGAGAAACAGAGUGCAAGUGAGGGAGGGGCAGAGAAAGAGGGAGGCACAGAAUCCGAAGCAGGCUCCAGGCUCCGAGCCGUCGGCACAGAGCCCGACGCGGGGCUCGAACUCAUGAACCGUGAGAUCGUGACCUGAUCUAAAGUCGGUCACUCAACCAACUGAGUCACCCAGGCGCCCCGCCCCCCAAUUUUUUUAUUUUUAAAAAAUUGGUCAAACCUGAGCCUAAAGCUCCAAACUGGCAAAGAAUGACAAAGAGCAUUUUGUUUUGUUUUGUUUUCUUUUUGGCUGCACAUCACACUGAAACUCACCAAGAUUUCACCUCAAAGAGCCAGAGCUUUCUAGGGUUCAACGUUCAGAAGCUACAGCAUUACUGACCAUUUCCUGAGUUUCAAUAUGACUAUAUUAUCCCAAGUGGUUAGCUGUCUCUUUGAAGCCUUAAUUAGUCUCAGAAAAGGAAUUUAUAGAUUUCUCCUUUUACCGCUCCAGCCCUACAGGUAUUUCCCCCCAGGAAUCGGCGGUGAAGGGGUGAAGGGAAAGGCAGACAUUCUGGUCCUGGCCCUCCCUCCCCACUUCGAGCCACUUCUCUUCAGAGCCGAUGGCCGGCAGG